AGCAGAAGGUUUUAUCCUCACUUGAGUAGAUUUUAAGAAAUUCAUUAAGGAACGAGGGUAACGUUUCUUUUGGCGUUUAGUGUAUUUCUAGUUUAGAUUU